rnacentral:rRNA from 1 species
GAGUUUGAUCCUGGCUCAGAACGAACGCUGGCGGCAUGCCUAACACAUGCAAGUCGAACGGGAUCCAGGCUUCGGCCUGGUGAGAGUGGCGGACGGGUGAGUAACGCGUGGGAACCUGCCCAAUGGUCUGGGAUAACCGCGGGAAACUGCGGCUAAUACCGGAUAAGCCCGAGAGGGGAAAGAUUUAUCGCCCAUGGAGGGGCCCGCGUCCGAUUAGGUAGUUGGUGAGGUAACGGCUCACCAAGCCGACGAUCGGUAGCUGGUCUGAGAGGAUGAUCAGCCACACUGGGACUGAGAUACGGCCCAGACUCCUACGGGAGGCAGCAGUGGGGAAUAUUGGACAAUGGGGGCAACCCUGAUCCAGCAAUGCCGCGUGAGUGAUGAAGGCCUUAGGGUUGUAAAGCUCUUUUGGCGGGACGAUGAUGACGGUACCCGCAGAAUAAGCCCCGGCUAACUUCGUGCCAGCCGCCGCCGUAAG